ACAACUUUAGCUCAACUGGUAGAGCUAGUUGGUAGAUGUAUUAGGCACACAUUUCUAAUUGAUGUAGGUUCGAGCCCUGCAAGUUGUA
rnacentral:tRNA from 2 species